AGUGAAUCUACUUGGAAGGCAUCUUUAGAAUAAAAAUAUGAAAAUAUACCUUCAUCAUGUAGUCAAAGCAUGAGCUGCUGGGAAGAAUGAAUGAGAAUAUCUCCUGUGGCCAAUAUAUGCAUGCAGUGUAAACUACAAUUUCAAACUAUCUAAAGGCAGAUCUCCAGAGAGAUUUACUGGAGGAGAGAAGAGCAAGAAGCAAGAUGGAUGUUCGCAGCAUAUCCCAGAUUCUGUGUUCUUGGAAUGAAGAGGAGAAAAAAAAAGGGAAAAGCCUGCUCCCUGCCCUGCCCUCAGCUACAAUGUAAGUAGCCCCCUCCCACUCUCAAAUCCAUGCCUGAUGGGAACACCAUGAUGAGGAAGAACCUCCAACGACAAGCAAAAUAAACCUGUCCUUCCUUAAGAUUCUUCUGUCAAAUUUCUUGUCAUAUUUUUGGUAAGAUAAACUAAUGUGAAAUACUGG
rnacentral:lncRNA from 1 species